rnacentral:rRNA from 1 species
UACGAAGGGGGCUAGCGUUGCUCGGAAUGACUGGGCGUAAAGGGUGCGUAGGCGGGUCUUUAAGUCAGGGGUGAAAUCCUGGAGCUCAACUCCAGAACUGCCUUUGAUACUGAAGAUCUUGAGUUCGGGAGAGGUGAGUGGAACUGCGAGUGUAGAGGUGAAAUUCGUAGAUAUUCGCAAGAACACCGGUGGCGAAGGCGGCUCACUGGCUCGUAACUGACGCUCAUGCACGACAGCGUGGGGAUCAAACAGG